AUACGGAGGAUCCGAGCGUUAUCCGGAUUUAUUGGGUUUAAAGGGUGCGCAGGCGGCCAUUUAAGUCAGCGGUUAAAUCGUGGGGCUCAACCCCAUUCUGCCGUUGAUACUGGGUGGCUUGAUCGCGGUCGAGGUUGGCGGAAUUCGUUGUGUAGCGGUGAAAUGCAUAGAUAUGACGAAGAACACCGAUUGCGUAGGCAGCUGACCAGACCGCAAAUGACGCUCAUGCACGAAAGUGCGGGGAUCGAACAGGAUUAGAUACCCUGGUAGUCCGCACAGUAAACGAUGAAUACUUGUUUUCGGCGAUAUAAUGUCGGAGGCAAAGCGAAAGCGAUAAGUAUUCCACCUGGGGAGUACGCCGGCAACGGUGAAACUCAAAUGAAUUGACGGGG
rnacentral:rRNA from 1 species